UGCAUUCCUGGGGUGAUCUCUGGGAUACAUCCAACUGACCCUCUGAAAAGGUCAGCCACAUGUGUUUAAUCAUUAUACUACAUCACCACACUCCAAAGUCAGGGUGGAACUUAUCUACCAAAUCUCAGCCUUCCAAGCCAACAGAGUUACUUUCUGAUCCCUACUAUGUAUCACACUAGAAAGUCUAGAGAAAGAGAAGAUAUGUUCUCCACCACACACGAAGUGUUGCAUCAGGGCAACCACGGAUGUCAUCGUUGAGCCUAGGAAGUGCCAGGAAUAUGCUCUACUUGGACAAAUCCUGCCUCCCACUGGGACCAGAGUCAAAACCUCAGUGACUUUCCAGGUUGAACCAAUUGAGAGAUUUUGAAACUAUUUUGAUCAGACUGGAAAGUUAGGGACCACCAUUGAAGAACUUGAGAGGUGACAAAUUCCACAGAACAAAGACAAGACCCUACAAUCAAAAGAAUUCACAGAUUAUAGUACAAGCUAGAUAAGAAGAAAAUACUGAACAGAAACAUCCCUAUACACUGACACAUACUUGUGAAAUUUAAGAUCAUCAAAGCCAAGAUUGUGCCAUUGCACUCCAGCCUGGGCAACAAGAGUGAAACUCCAUCUCAAAGAAAAAAAAAAAGAGAAUAAAAAAACGGAAGUAUGGGGGUAUGGAGAAAAAUCCUGAAGAUUGAGAUCCUAGUGAACACAAAGUAAAUCCUGUUUGCCUGUGACAGGCCCUGUUGAUACAAUUAAGUGACCCCACACUCUCAGAUGGAUACCACUUGGACAGUAUUCAUGUGAUUACCCAAAUUCUGAUUGCUGAAUUUUAUGUAAUGAAAAUAUCAAUAGAAUAUCAGAUGUAACUCAUAAUAUAAUUUAGUUUCUUUUUGUAAGCAUAGUGAAAAGUAUAAAAUAAAUAUCAAUUUAUUUGAAUA